UGAUUUGCAUCUCCUUGCCUAGUUUUAAAAUUAGUCUAUAAUGGGAAUUGUCUAAUAAACAAUUCCCAUUAUAGACUAAUUUUAAAACUAGGCAAGGAGAUGCAAAUAAAUC